rnacentral:rRNA from 1 species
UGGGGAAUAUUGCACAAUGGGCGAAAGCCUGAUGCAGCGACGCCGCGUGCGGGAUGAAGGCCUUCGGGUUGUAAACCGCUUUUAAUUGGGAGCAAGCGAGAGUGAGUGUACCUUUUGAAUAAGCACCGGCUAACUACGUGCCAGCAGCCGCGGUAAUACGUAGGGUGCAAGCGUUAUCCGGAAUUAUUGGGCGUAAAGAGCUCGUAGGCGGUUUGUCACGCCUGGUGUGAAAGUCCAUCGCUUAACGGUGGAUCUGCGCCGGGUACGGGCAGGCUAGAGUGCAGUAGGGGAGAUUGGAAUUCCCGGUGUAACGGUGGAAUGUGUAGAUAUCGGGAAGAACACCAAUGGCGAAGGCAGAUCUCUGGGCUGUUACUGACGCUGAGGAGCGAAAGCAUGGGGAGCGAACAGGAUUAGAUACCCUGGUAGUCCAUGCCGUAAACGGUGGAUGCUGGAUGUGGGGCCCUUCCACGGGCUCCGUGUCGGAGCUAACGCGUUAAGCAUCCCGCCUGGGGAGUACGG